rnacentral:rRNA from 1 species
AACGAACGCUGGCGGCAGGCUUAACACAUGCAAGUCGAGCGCCCCGCAAGGGGAGCGGCAGACGGGUGAGUAACGCGUGGGAAUCUACCCAUCUCUACGGAAUAACGCAUGGAAACGUGUGCUAAUACCGUAUACGUCCUUCGGGAGAAAGAUUUAUCGGAGAUGGAUGAGCCCGCGUUGGAUUAGCUAGUUGGUGGGGUAAAGGCCUACCAAGGCGAUGAUCCAUAGCUGGUCUGAGAGGAUGACCAGCCACACUGGGACUGAGACACGGCCCAGACUCCUACGGGAGGCAGCAGUGGGGAAUAUUGGACAAUGGGCGCAAGCCUGAUCCAGCCAUGCCGCGUGAGUGACGAAGGUCUUCGGAUUGUAAAGCUCUUUUGCCAGGGACGAUAAUGACGGUACCUGGAGAAUAAGCCCCGGCUAACUUCGUGCCAGCCGCCGCAGUAAAAC